rnacentral:rRNA from 1 species
UUGUAAGUGUUUAAGGGCGCAUGGUGGAUGCCUUGGCACUGGGAGCCGAUGAAGGACGUGGGAGGCUGCGAUAUGCCUCGGGGAGCUGCCAACCGAGCGUGGAUCCGAGGAUGUCCGAAUGGGGAAACCCGGCACGAGUGAUGUCGUGUCACCCGGCACUGAAUACAUAGGUGUCGGGGGGGAACGCGGGGAAGUGAAACAUCUCAGUACCCGUAGGAAGAGAAAACAAAAGUGAUUCCGUGAGUAGUGGCGAGCGAAAGCGGAGGAUGGCUAAACCGUGCACAUGUGAUACCCGGCAGGGGUUGUGUGUGCGGUGUUGUGGGGUGCAUUGUUCUCAGAUCUGCCGGUCUGGGCUGCAGUGAGAAAAGCUCGUGUUAGUCGAACUGGUUUGGGAUGGCCGACCGUAGAGGGUGAGAGUCCCGUAGGUGAAAACACGUGCUCUGUAGUGAUGUGUCCCCGAGUAGCAGCGGGCCCGUGGAAUCUGCUGUGAAUCUGCCGGGACCACCCGGUAAGCCUGAAUACUUCCCAGUGACCGAUAGCGGAUUAGUACCGUGAGGGAAUGGUGAAAAGUACCCCGGGAGGGGAGUGAAAGAGUACCUGAAACCGUGUGCCUACAAUCCGUCAGAGCCCUCGACUUGUCGUGGGGUGAUGGCGUGCCUUUUGAAGAAUGAGCCUGCGAGUCAGGGACAUGUCGCGAGGUUAACCCGGGUGGGGUAGCCGUAGCGAAAGCGAGUCUGAAUAGGGCGUAUCCACACAACAGUGUGUGGUGUAGUGGUGUGUUCUGGACCCGAAGCGGAGUGAUCUACCCAUGGCCAGGGUGAAGCGACGGUAAGACGUCGUGGAGGCCCGAACCCACUUAGGUUGAAGACUGAGGGGAUGAGCUGUGGGUAGGGGUGAAAGGCCAAUCAAACUCCGUGAUAGCUGGUUCUCCCCGAAAUGCAUUUAGGUGCAGCGUUGCAUGCUUCUUGUUGGAGGUAGAGCUACUGGAUGGCCGAUGGGCCUCACAAGGUUACUGACGUCAGCCAAACUCCGAAUGCCGACAAGUGAGAGUGUGGCAGUGAGACGGCGGGGGAUAAGCUCCGUGCGUCGAGAGGGAAACAGCCCAGAUCGCCGGCUAAGGCCCCUAAGCGUGUGCUAAGUGGAAAAGGAUGUGCAGUCGCGAAGACAACCAGGAGGUUGGCUUAGAAGCAGCCACCCUUGAAAGAGUGCGUAAUAGCUCACUGGUCAAGUGAUUGUGCGCCGAUAAUGUAGCGGGGCUCAAGCACACCGCCGAAGCCGCGGCAAUCAGAUANNNNNNNNNNNNNNNNNNNNNNNNNNNNNNNNNNNNNNNNNNNNNNNNNNNNNNNNNNNNNNNNNNNNNNNNNNNNNNNNNNNNNNNNNNNNNNNGAUGUAUGUCUGGUUGGGUAGGGGAGCGUCCUGCAUCCGGUGAAGCAGCAGAGUGAUCUAGCUGUGGAGGGUGUGGGAGUGAGAAUGCAGGCAUGAGUAGCGAUAAGGCAAGUGAGAACCUUGCCCGCCGAAAGACCAAGGGUUCCUGGGCCAGGCCAGUCCGCCCAGGGUGAGUCGGGACCUAAGGCGAGGCCGACAGGCGUAGUCGAUGGACAACGGGUUGAUAUUCCCGUACCCGUGUGUGAGCGUCCCUGAUGAAUCAGCGGUACUAACCGCCCAAAACCACGGUCACCGAUCCCUUCGGGGUGAGGGAUUGUGGGGCUGCGCGGGACCUUCGUUGGUAGUAGUCAAGCGAUGGGGUGACGCAGGAAGGUAGCCGUACCAGUCAGUGGUUGUACUGGGGUAAGCCUGUAGGGAGACAUCUAGGCAAAUCCGGAUGUCACAUAUCCUGAGAGGUGAUGCAUAGCCGAUUGAGGCGAAUUCGGUGAUCCUAUGCUGCCAAGAAAAGCCUCUAGCGAGUGCACACACGGCCCGUACCCCAAACCGACACAGGUGGUCAGGUAGAGAAUACCAAGGCGUACGAGUGAACUAUGGUUAAGGAACUCGGCAAAAUGCCCCCGUAACUUCGGGAGAAGGGGGACCUCCAUACCGUCAACCGGUUUACCCGGGGCAGCGGGAGGGGGUGGCACAAACCAGUGAGAAGCGACUGUUUACUAAAAACACAGGUCCGUGCGAAGUCGCAAGACGAUGUAUACGGACUGACGCCUGCCCGGUGCUGGAAGGUUAAGAGGACCGGUUAACCCUUCGGGGUGAAGCUGAGAAUUUAAGCCCCAGUAAACGGCGGUGGUAACUAUAACCAUCCUAAGGUAGCGAAAUUCCUUGUCGGGUAAGUUCCGACCUGCACGAAUGGCGUAACGACUUCUCAACUGUCUCAACCAUAGACUCGGCGAAAUUGCAUUACGAGUAAAGAUGCUCGUUACGCGCGGCAGGACGAAAAGACCCCGGGACCUUCACUACAACUUGGUAUUGGAGUUCGGUUCGGUUUGUGUAGGAUAGGUGGGAGACUGUGAAGCGGCCACGCCAGUGGUUGUGGAGUCGUUGUUGAAAUACCACUCUGAUCGUAUUGGGCUUCUAACUUCGAACCGUAUAUCCGGUUCAGGGACAGUGCCUGGUGGGUAGUUUAACUGGGGCGGUUGCCUCCUAAAAUGUAACGGAGGCGCCCAAAGGUUCCCUCAACCUGGACGGCAAUCAGGUGUUGAGUGUAAGUGCACAAGGGAGCUUGACUGCGAGACGUACAUGUCGAGCAGGGACGAAAGUCGGGACUAGUGAUCCGGCACCUCUGAGUGGAAGGGGUGUCGCUCAACGGAUAAAAGGUACCCCGGGGAUAACAGGCUGAUCUUCCCCAAGAGUCCAUAUCGACGGGAUGGUUUGGCACCUCGAUGUCGGCUCGUCGCAUCCUGGGGCUGGAGCAGGUCCCAAGGGUUGGGCUGUUCGCCCAUUAAAGCGGCACGCGAGCUGGGUUUAGAACGUCGUGAGACAGUUCGGUCUCUAUCCGCCGCGCGCGUCAGAAGCUUGAGGAAAUCUGUCCCUAGUACGAGAGGACCGGGACGGACGAACCUCUGGUACACCAGUUGUCCCACCAGGGGCACCGCUGGAUAGCCACGUUCGGACAGGAUAACCGCUGAAAGCAUCUAAGCGGGAAACCCCCUCCAAGACCAGGCUUCUCACCCAUU